rnacentral:rRNA from 1 species
UAGGGAAUCUUCCGCAAUGGGCGAAAGCCUGACGGAGCAACGCCGCGUGAGUGAUGAAGGUCUUCGGAUCGUAAAACUCUGUUAUUAGGGAAGAACAAAUGUGUAAGUAACUAUGCACGUCUUGACGGUACCUAAUCAGAAAGCCACGGCUAACUACGUGCCAGCAGCCGCGGUAAUACGUAGGUGGCAAGCGUUAUCCGGAAUUAUUGGGCGUAAAGCGCGCGUAGGCGGUUUUUUAAGUCUGAUGUGAAAGCCCACGGCUCAACCGUGGAGGGUCAUUGGAAACUGGAAAACUUGAGUGCAGAAGAGGAAAGUGGAAUUCCAUGUGUAGCGGUGAAAUGCGCAGAGAUAUGGAGGAACACCAGUGGCGAAGGCGACUUUCUGGUCUGUAACUGACGCUGGUGUGCGAACGCGUGGGGAUCAAACAGG